ACGGAGGGUGCAAGCGUUGUCCGGAUUUAUUGGGUUUAAAGGGUGCGUAGGUGGUUUAUUAAGUCAGUGGUGAAAGACGGUCGCUCAACGAUUGCAGUGCCAUUGAAACUGAUAGACUUGAGUUUCGUUAAGGUAGGUGGAAUUGAUAGUGUAGCGGUGAAAUGCAUAGAUAUUAUCAAGAACUCCAAUUGCGUAGGCAACUUACUAGUCGAAAACUGACACUGAUGCACGAAAGUGUGGGUAUCAAACAGGAUUAGAUACCCUGGUAGUCCACACUGUAAACGAUGAUAACUAGGUGUUGGCCUUAAGGGUCAGUGCUACGGCGAAAGCGUUAAGUUAUCCACCUGGGGAGUACGCCGGCAACGGUG
rnacentral:rRNA from 1 species